UCCUACGGGAGGCAGCAGAGGGGAAUAUUGGACAAUGGACCAAGAGUCUGAUCCAGCAAUUCUGUAUGCACGAUGACAUUUUUCGGAAUGUAAAGUGCUUUCAGUUGGGAAGAAAAAAAUGACGGUACCAACAGAAGAAGUGACGGCUAAAUACGUGCCAGCAGCCGCGGUAAUACGUAUGUCACAAGCGUUAUCCGGAUUUAUUGGGCGUAAAGCGCGUCUAGGUGGUUAUGUAAGUCUGAUGUGAAAAUGCAGGGCUCAACUCUGUAUUGCGUUGGAAACUGUGUAACUAGAGUACUGGAGAGGUAAGCGAAACUACAAGUGUAGAGGUGAAAUUCGUAGAUAUUUGUAGGAAUGCCGAUGGGGAAGCCAGCUUACUGGACAGAUACUGACGCUAAAGCGCGAAAGCGUGGGUAGCAAACAGGAUUAGAUACCCUGGUAGUCCACGCCGUAAACGAUGGUUACUAGGUGUUGGGGGUCGAACCUCAGCGCCCAAGCAAACGCGAUAAGUAAUCCGCCUGGGGAGUACGUACGCAAGUAUGAAACUCAAAUGAAUUGACGGA
rnacentral:rRNA from 1 species